ACUGGUAUGAAUGAGCUAAUUAGGGGGAGACUUUUUUACAAGUAUUAGUAUAAUUUUAUUAUCAAGUAAAAAGGCUUGGUUGUUGUAAAGUGACAAGAAGACCCUAAGAGUUUUAUUAAGUUACAUUUUGGCAGAAUAUUGUGUGGAUGUUAGAGGGCUAGGAAGUAAUUUAAUUUAGCUGGGGCGGUUGAAAUAAUAUCUAUUUUGUAUAUUACUGUAAUGAUAGAAUUUUAUUUUAUUGUAUCCUCCGUAGGAAUGCAAUAUAAAUUACCUUAGGGAUAACAGCAUAAUCUUUUUUGAGAGAUCUUAUUGACAGGAAGGUUUGUGACCUCGAUGUUGGAUUUGAAUAACUUUUAGGAGCAGCAUUUGUAAAAG
rnacentral:rRNA from 1 species